rnacentral:tRNA from 1 species
GGGCCUUUAGCUCAGUUGGUUAGAGCGUGCCUCUGAUAAGGGCAAGGUCUCAGGUUCGAGCCCUGAAAGGCCCAC